GUCUUCUCUUUCAGAAUGUGCCUUGCACACGUGCUCUUCUGAAUGCCUGGCUAUUUGGUGAAGUUGCCUGGCCUGCUGAUUCCUAGUCUAUGAAAGUGGUGAAACUGCUUUUUCUGCGCGUGGUGAAACUGUUUAGUGAACAGCCUUUGGCCAAGAAGAAGACUUAUGACUGGUAUCCAGAUUACAAUACUUAUUUUGUACUCAUGGGGACAUUCUUAUGCCUUGGCCUCUACAGAGAUGAGCAUCAAGAUUUUAAGGAUGAGCCAGGCACGCUCCAUGGAAGGGGGAAACCAAGUAAAGGAAAAGAGAAAAGAGCA
rnacentral:lncRNA from 10 species